GAGAUCAAGGCAAUUAAUGCCCAAAUAUUCCUUAAGAUUUUCAAAUCUUGCCAAAUCUCUCAAAGAUUACCAAAUCAAAAUCAAUCUUCCAAAGCAAUUCACUCUCUCCUUCUCCCUUAAGUUUCGACCACCACCUUCUCUCCCUCUCCCUCAUCUCUCACUUCACUUUCCACCAUUAUCCUCCAUUGAUGCACCUUCGGAGCUUCACAAAUUCAUACCAAAACUCAAAUCACCCUCUAAAUCCACCUUAAACACCUUCCAUCUCCUUAGAUUCAAGAAGAUCCAUGGAGAUUCAAUCUUGAAGUUAGAAAGAGAAAGUUUGGUUUUGGGUGUAAGUUUGGGUCCGGGCGACAGGAAGUGAAGCCGAAGAAGAAGCGACUCCACGCUAGCUUAAGAACGUUUGAGGUUGAGCUGGCGAUGGAAUGGAUUGGUGUUGAGCGGAUCCCCUUUCAAUGAUUAAGUAACAAAACCUUGAGUAUGCAUCUCCAUAUGCAUAACUCACACGCAUUACGAUGCAACACUCUGAUUUUGUUAUCGUUUCUACAUGAACUUAAUACCAAUUUAUUUCGGAUGAUGUCACGUGGGUCUAGUCUUUGUUAUGAACGUUUGUAAUUACCCAAGCAGUUAUAUAUUAUUAAUUGCUUUAAAGGAACGUCUUUUUCUUAAA